CCUACGGGAGGCAGCAGUGAGGAAUAUUGGUCAAUGGCCGGAAGGCUGAACCAGCCAAGUCGCGUGAGGGACGACUGCCCUAUGGGUUGUACACCUCUUUUAUAAGGGAAGAAUAAAUGCUACGUGUAGCCUGAUGCCUGUACCUUAUGAAUAAGCAUCGGCUAACUCCGUGCCAGCAGCCGCGGUAAUACGGAGGAUGCGGGCGUUAUCCGGAUUUAUUGGGUUUAAAGGGUGUGUAGGCGGUUUUUUAAGUUAGUGGUUAAACGUCGGGGCUUCACCUUGAUUUGCCAUUAAUACUGUAAGACUCGAGUUCAGACGAGGUAGGCGGAAUAAGUUAAGUAGCGGUGAAAUGCUUAGAUAUAACUUAGAACUCCGAUAGCGAAGGCAGCUUACCAGACUGCGACUGACGCUGAAGCACGAGAGCGUGGGUAGCGAACAGGAUUAGAUACCCUUGUAGUC
rnacentral:rRNA from 1 species